GGGAAUAUUCUAAAAAGGAAAGAAAAGCUCCAUUCUCACUCCUCUCAGGAUAAACUGUCAUUAAAAUUGACUUUAAAUUUAGCUUCAACGUGAGAUAAAAACAUUUACUUUCAUUACUGAUGUUGUCAAGUUUUAAUAAAGUUCAUGCUACUUUUCUAAAAUGAUGAAAGUGAAUAAAUUGUAUUUCUGUGAUCUGUGUUUGAUUUCUGUCUUUUCUCCUGUCAUCCAGAUGUUCAGAGGGAGAUGAUGCCACAUCUGGUCCAGCUGAUGGAAGGUCUUGAAGUUCUCUGACUGGCCUGGACUGAAGAUGGUCGUCUCACUGGAUUUAAGGUUCAGAUGCUCAGUAACAAACUUCACCAAUGAGCCAACAGGGAAGCUUUAGGUUUAUUAAAUGUUGCUAUGAAGGUUUCGCUGUUUUUCUUUGUGAAUGCAAUGAGCUCCAACUGAAACUUGAAUUAGAACUUAGAAGUAAAUCCUUCUAUCUGAAAGGAUUUAGUUGCAUUAAUAACCUCAUAACAUUCUAAUUUUUAUUCCAGUCUUGGCUGGAAAUAGAAUCUCUGUAUUGAUUCAGGUAAAAACUGAACUUCACAGCAUGUUGGAGCAAAACAACCAGAUGAAAACUGUGAUGGUGUUGGAUUGUCAGACCGUAAUGUUGCAGCUCAAAGCAGCUUUUCUAGCUCAGUUCAUUCUGACAUUCAGCUAUGAAUCAACACAGCAGAUGGUGAUCCAUGCUGUGGAAGUCUCACAUCUCCUGAUUUAAUGGAGCUGCUUUGCACUUUUUACACUGUUUAUUCACCAACACUUUAUUUAAUAAAAGUCCCAUCUAGUUUUUAUGAGGAAUGUGAUGUUUUAAUUUCUCUGUGAAUAACUGCAGUCUAAUGCAACAGCUGGAAUUGUAACAUCUGUCCUGAUAUUGAUCAUGAAUUAUUGAUCAGAAUACUUAUGGUUAGCAGUCAUCCCUGAAGUUUUACAUUAAAAUUGUGUGGAGGAAUUUAGUCUCACAAUCACAGACAAUAAAUAUUAUCUGAAAGUCGGGUUAUUGUUGUUUAUCAGCACAAUGCAAAAUGAUUAAUGUUAGAAAUAUUCCAGUUAAGACCCUAGAAUAUCUUGAUUUAUGUAAAUUUACCUCAAUAAUAUGAAUGUUCAGGUUAAGAUUGUACAGUGAUAUUUAUUAUGUAAGUUUAGCUGAUUAAAGUUUAUGACUCUGCACUACAAUAUUAUUUAAAUUGACAUCAUUAUUAUAAUAUUUAGGGUCAGACCCUACAGUAUUGAGAUUAAGAAGUCAAAUAUUGUAUAAAAUGUAAAUACACUGAACUCAUUUGGAUAUAUUUAAGUGAGACUCUGCAAUAUUAUUUAUGACACAAAUCUAUCUAAAUAAAAAUUUUAAUAAUUUUCAUGCCAAACAUUUACUGGACUGAUUUAAAUAUUAAAAUCAUUCCUUUCUAAUCCUCUGCUGUACGUUCAAACCUGAGGCCUUAAAUAGAAACACACAAGUAUCUGAUUGAAGGAACUUCUGCAGAGUCCUGGUUCCAGAACAUGAUGAUAGAAUUAUAGACAAACUUUAACAAAAGCUGCCUGAGAGUUUACAGGUUUUUAUGUUAGAUUUCUUCAGUAAUUUAAUGAGUUAUCAGCAAAAAUCAAGUGUUCAUUUGAUGAACUUCAUUUCCUAAAACAUCCAGAAUUGGAGCUCAUAUCUUUGGCAGCUGUAAAGUUUCUGCUCUUUCAAAGUUCACAACACAAUGAAUGAAUUCCUAAAACACUCUCAAUGCUGGAGAGCGUUUGUGAUGCUGAAGCAGUGACCAGUUUUUCUGUUUCUUCUCUGGAGAUGCACAAUGAGGGACGUCUGCAGAGACUGAGAAAGAGUCUCACCACAUCCUGACAUGAGGAAAAAGACUUUAUUGAAGACUACAAGGAGAAAAACUAUCAGACAGCAGACGGCUGCAUUCAAGUCUGUAGCUGCUGAAUUCAUGGAUGAAUCAUCUGGCACUAGAGAGGAAGACCAUCAAACAUCCACGUCAGCUGAUGGAGGUCCAAGAGUCUCACCCAACAAACAACCUACAGAGUGAAGACCUCGAAUCUGAUUGGACGGCCUCCUAUUCAGCCACGUGUGAACAAAUGCCUCUAAGCUGAUUUGUUUUCUAAAAUAAAUCUAGUUUGAGUCCUAA